GACAGAGGUGCCAAGCGUUAGGCGGAAUCACUGGGCUUAAAGCGUGUGUAGGCGGAUGUCUAAGUACCUUGUGAAAUCCCACGGCUCAACCGUGGAACUGCUUGGUAUACUGGAUGUCUUGAGCCAUCUAGGGGCUACCGGAACAAAUGGUGGAGCGGUGAAAUGCGUAGAUAUCAUUGGGAACGCCAAUGGUGAAAACAGGUAGCUGGGGAUGUGCUGACGCUGAGACACGAAAGCCAGGGGAGCAAACGGG
rnacentral:rRNA from 1 species